rnacentral:rRNA from 1 species
GAUUGAACGCUGGCGGCGUGCUUAACACAUGCAAGUCGAUCGGUAACAGGUGUAGCAAUACAUGCUGACGAGAGGCGGACGGGUGAGGAAUAUUUGGGAAUCUGCCCAUCAGCGGGGGACAACCCGGGGAAACUCGGGCUAAUACCGCAUACGCUCUACGGAGGAAAGCCGGGGACCGCAAGGCCUGGCACUGAUGGAUGAGCCCAAAUCGGAUUAGCUAGUUGGCGGGGUAACGGCCCACCAAGGCGACGACCCGUAGCUGGUCUGAGAGGACGAUCAGCCACACCGGAACUGAGACACGGUCCGGACUCCUACGGGAGGCAGCAGUGGGGAAUAUUGGACAAUGGGGGAAACCCUGAUCCAGCGACGCUGCGUGGGUGAAGAAGGCCUGCGGGUUGUAAAGCCCUUUCGGUAGGGAAGAAAUCUCUUGUUCUAACAAAACAAGGGUUGACUUAACCUACAUAAGAAGCACCGGCUAACUCUGUGCCAGCAGCCGCGGUAAUACAGAGGGUGCGAGCGUUAAUCGGAAUUACUGGGCGUAAAGCGCACGUAGUCGGCUUGCCAAGUCGGGUGUGAAAUCCCCGGGCUCAACCUGGGAACUGCAUCCGAAACUGGCUUGCUAGAGUAUGGGAGAGGGAGGCGGAAUUUCUGGUGUAGCAGUGAAAUGCGUAGAGAUGUGGAGGAAUACCGAUGGCGAAGGCAGCCCCCUGGGCUAACACUGACGCUCAUGCACGAAAGCGUGGGGAGCAAACAGGAUUAGAUACCCUGGUAGUCCACGCCCUAAACGAUGUCAACUAGGUGUUGGGGAAGGAGACUUCUUUAGUACCGCAGCUAACGCGUGAAGUUGACCGCCUGGGGAGUACGGUCGCAAGAUUAAAACUCAAAGGAAUUGACGGGGACCCGCACAAGCGGUGGAUUAUGUGGAUUAAUUCGAUGCAACGCGAAAAACCUUACCUACCCUUGACAUGUCAAGAAGUUUCCAGAGAUGGAUUCGUGCCCGAAAGGGAACUUGAACACAGGUGCUGCAUGGCUGUCGUCAGCUCGUGUCGUGAGAUGUUGGGUUAAGUCCCGCAACGAGCGCAACCCUUGUCAUUAAUUGCCAUCAUUUAGUUGGGCACUUUAAUGAGACUGCCGGUGAUAAACCGGAGGAAGGUGGGGAUGACGUCAAGUCCUCAUGGCCCUUAUGGGUAGGGCUUCACACGUAAUACAAUGGUCGGUACAGAGGGUUGCCAACCCGCGAGGGGGAGCUAAUCUCAGAAAGCCGAUCGUAGUCCGGAUUGUUCUCUGCAACUCGAGAGCAUGAAGUCGGAAUCGCUAGUAAUCGCGGAUCAGCAUGUCGCGGUGAAUACGUUCCCGGGUC